AGAGUUUGAUCCUGGCUCAGGACGAACGCUGGCGGCGUGCUUAACACAUGCAAGUCACGGGGGCUCGCAAGGGCAACCGGCGAACGGGUGCGUAACACGUGAGCAAUCUGCCGAUCUCUGGGGGAUAGCCGGCCCAACGGCCGGGUAAUACCGCAUACGCUCAUCGGGGGGAUUCCCCUGGUGAGGAAACCUCCGGGGGAGAUCGAGGAGCUCGCGACCUAUCAGCUAGUUGGCGGGGUAACGGCCCACCAAGGCAGCGACGGGUAGCUGGUCUGAGAGGAUGGCCAGCCACAUUGGGACUGCGACACGGCCCAGACUCCUACGGGAGGCAGCAGUGGGGAAUAUUGCGCAAUGGACGAAAGUCUGACGCAGCGACGCCGCGUGUGGGAUGACGCCUUUCGGGGUGUAAACCACUGUUGCCCGGGACGAAACUCUCCUUUCGAGGAGAUUGACGGUACCGGGUGAGGAAGCACCGGCUAACUCUGUGCCAGCAGCCGCGGUAAUACAGAGGGUGCGAGCGUUGUCCGGAAUCACUGGGCGUAAAGGGCGCGUAGGUGGCGAGAUAAGCGUGUGGUGAAAGCCCGGGGCUCAACCCCGUGUCUGCCAUGCGGACUGUUUCGCUCGAGCGUAGUAGAGGCAGGUGGAAUUCCGGGUGUAGCGGUGGAAUGCAGAGAUCCGGAAGAACACCGGUGGCGAAGGCGGCCUGCUGGGCUACUGCUGACACUGAGGCGCGACAGCGUGGGGAGCAAACAGGAUUAGAUACCCUAGUAGUCC
rnacentral:rRNA from 1 species